rnacentral:lncRNA from 1 species
UCACACUUGGGGCACUAGGCACUCAGGCUUCAUGAAGGCUUCCUACAUCAAAGAGGUAUGUAUUCUAUCUUGUUACACUCAUUGUUUUGUAUGCUAGAUUAGGAUAAUACCUUGGAAGUUCUUAUUUGCAUGUAUAAUAGAGAAAACAUAGAUCCAAGGUAUUUAGGGUUGCAUGUACACUUAGGAGUGUUAGAAUGCUCAAAACCCAACAGUGGUAUCAGAGCCUAGGCUUGUUUUCUUGUUAUACCUGCAAUAGAAGCUGAAAAAACGAAUUUGGUGCUGUCUGGCCAUCAGACUCGGCGAGUCCAUCAGGAGACUCGACGAGUCCAUGCCUAAAAAGUGAUGAAUUCGAUCCAACUCGCCGAGUUUGUUCAUGCACUCGACGAGUUGGACCCCCAGACAGCAUAUUUUCGAGUUUUUUGGCUAGAAAUGGACUAGGAACAUUACCCUAAGUUGUUUUUGAACUUAUAAACUUGUUUUUGAUGUGGUAAUGUUCAUGCUAAUCCAUUUUCAAAGAUAAUUGUCAAUAGAUUCAUGUUUUGUAUUAGUUUAAGGUUUAGACUAAUUACAUGAAAAAGUUUGAUUUGAAUUAUCUUGUUCUUAUGAGUUGCUUAGAUUAAUAGAAAUGUUGAGUGAAAUAGUUGUUUUCAAUCCAUUUUAAUCUAAGAGUUGAGUAUAAAAUGUGUUUGUGUAACUUGUCCUCAAGUUACAUGAAGAGUCACAUUAAAGACUCAUAAAAUUCAUAAGAGUUGGCAAUGGUUACAAAAUGAAGAGUCUUGUGUCAUUGAAUAAUUUUUAUGACUCCAUAACUUGUCCUCAAGUUAUGGAAGUUCAAGAGUCACUUCAUUAAAGAAAAAUAUGUAACCAUAAUUAAAUCCAUAAGUUAUAAAAUAAAGAAAAAGUUAGUUCUUUUAUUAGUUUAAAGUCUUCCAUAACUUGUCCUCAAGUUAUGGAACUUGAAGAGUUUUUGGAUUAAAACUACUUUAAACACAUAAGUUAUGGAAUUAAUUAGUUUUGAAUAGUUUCAAAACUUGCCCUCAAGUUUUGGAAUUUGAAAAGUUUUCAAGUAUGAAUACUUUAAUUCCAAGUUAGCCCUUAGAAUUUUAAAAGUUAAAAUUCAACCCUUAUACUUUAUAAUAUUAUAAGUUAAUAAUAUAUAUAUGUAUAAGAGUAAAGUCAGUCUUACCGCUAGUACGCCUCAUUCACGAAGCCGGUCUAUAAGGUGGGUAUAAGGUUGUUGCCUAUAAAAUGGCAACUUAAUGGGUGUCCACUCUCACCCACCGCUUGCUUGACUGGUGGAGGGUCGUUAGCCGAACGGGUUUGACAGGACUAGAAUUCUCCCUUCAUUAAAAGUAUUAAUGAUAAUACUAAGUAACUAAACUCUUAAUAAUACCCAAUCUUAGUUACUUAGGAAAAAUGUGAAUAAGGUGCUAAUCCAUGAAAUUACACUUUACACUUUGUCUAAGUCGUUAGUGGAGCGUGUGUGGUUAACCGGCACACUAACUUGGACUUAACAAGGUAGGUAAAGGGUGACUUAAUAUUUAUCAUAGUAUCGAUGGAGCGUGUGUGGUUAACCGGCACAUCGAUUGAGGGGUAAUUUAUUAAGGGUACCAAGUGAUUUGCAUGGUUACUUCACACCUUGUUUUGUGAUCCUCGGCAUCCCAGUCACAAAACCUGAAGGGCACACUCGAGAUUGAAACAUGCCUUUGAAAAGUUCAAUGAAUCUCAAAGAUCUAGGAGUUUCAAAACCAAUUAAAACCUAAUAAUACAUUUCGUUUAUCUUGGUGGAAAUUGGUGAAUCGUCAUUCACCUACCUUCAAAUAUUUUAUAGCUUGGAUUACGGCAUACCUCUUCUAAGUUAUAAAAUAGUUUGUUGGGUCCUAGCCUUAAUAUUUCAUAUUGGGUGUCAUAUUAAGGACUUUAAAUCAACUAUCUUGAAUAUCUCCCAAAAGAUGUCUGGUUUAGACACCUAUGAUCUUCCCAAAUCUCUUGAAACAAGGUUUCCUAAUGAAGAUGAUGUCCCAUGGAUAUCAUACUUCUUCACCUCUUCAAAUUAUUCUCCCUAACCCACAAGUUCUUGAAAAGUUUAAGGUCACUCAGGCCCUAUUGGCAAGGCAAGGUCUAGGUGUGGUCACAUCUUGGAGAUGUAGUCACAUAUUGACAAGCCGGGAGAGUUGGGUGUCAAAGUCUUGAGAAAGUUGGUGGUUCAACCACUUUCUAAGUCACAUAGUGAGUUCCUUUGGGACACCUAUGAAACAGACUAUGACAAGACCCUUAAUGAUCUUAUCUAUUUGCUAAGAUCAACUUCCUAAAACUUUAUGGACAUUGACAAUGAUGACAUUGGAUAUCCAGUAAAGCAUUCUCUUCCCAAUGGAAAGGGAUCGGCCAUAGUCAACUCGGUUGACCAAAUGGUAAAGAGAAAAGCUAAGUCUGUGAUAGUCCCGUGUACCAUUAUCAAAGGGUCCAUAUGUUUAUAUUGCCAAAGGAAGGGGCAUUGGUUGCGAAGCUGCCAAAUUUACCUAAGGAUGUUAAAGUCAAUAAGUUUGACUCUACUUCAGGUAAAGUCCACUAUCUAACUCUGUUAAGUUUCUAUUCUGAGAUUCUUGAUACAUGAUGUGACUGGGUCACAUGGUGAUGUUUUAAGAAUCAAAGAAAAGUGAAGAAACUUAAAGAAAGAAUAUGCUGAAUCUGAUGGCGUAGAUGGAUUUCUAUCGCAUAGUUUGAAGAUCGGAUUCUUGAGCUACUUCUUAGGAGUUAUGAGAUAUUGCUUAGGAAUAGAUAACAACAAGUUUUCAUAUGGAUUGUAAGGAUAAGUUUUUCCGCAAAGUUUUAAAAUAAAAGAAAAUUUUUUUGAUUUUAUUUAUUUUAAAAUAUCCUUACAAUGGCAUUUGAGGAAAAAUUGUUGCUUAUAUGAUUCCAUUAAGAGCAAGAGUGGAAAUAUGAAAUUGAUUCUUUCAUUUGUGGUAAUGUCUAAAUUUACCAAAUAAGGAAAGAUUCUCAUCACCCAAGUUUCAAUUGGACCGGAACUUGGAAUCAUGCAAGUUGUAUAGCAUGAUGAAUGAGAACUUUCAAGUUUUGGAAAAUUAAGACUAAUUACUUGUUCACAUGGAUGUGUGAGUCAAGUAAAGGACUUAGGGAUCGAGUACACAUUCUUGUGCACUGAUUAAGUCCACCACUAAAGAUCGAUAAGAAGAAUCAAAUAAGGCAGAAGGAUAAAAGUUUCUCAAAUCUGAAAAGAUGGGAGAGUACUUUAGUAUCAGUUUUGUGAUCAUCUUAAUGAUUAAGAAACCAUAUCAAAAUUAGUUCUCUAAGGAAAUCUUAGUGCAUUCUUAUGACUAAGAAGAGGAACUUGAAUUGUUGAAAUGGUUAAAUCAAGAAGAUGAGUCAUACUUCGUUCCAAUACAAGUCUUAGAGUCAUACUCCAAGAUUGUCAUUUGAGUGACAUGUCUUAAAGAAGGUUUAAAACACUUGUCAAAUGUAAGAGUAAAAGUUUUCUACUCUUGUACAUUUGAAAUUGGUAAGUUGUGAUGUUUUGGAUAAAACAAAGACCAACUUAGGCCAAUUGGGUAAAGUGUUUUUCUUGAUUAGAAUCCGCACUAUCUCUUGGAUGUUUGACAAGGGAGUCUUAUAUGUCAAGAGGACAGUGGGAGUCUUAAAGGUCUUGAAAGUCUCAAGAAAUAAUCAAGAAUAAAACCUAAAGUUCUUCACUAGCACACGACUUGAGGUUUAUAACCUAUCGUGUUGACAUAUCUGUGCCCAUUCCAGUUAAAGUUGGCUUUGCAUAUGAGUUCUUAGAGUUCUCAGUUUGUUGCAUAACAACUUGGAAGCAAUGGCAGGCCCUUGAGCUGCCAGGUGGCAAGAAGUUAAGAUUGAGUUCAAUCCAUAUGGUUUUGGAUUUGUCAUUAUCUUUGUCUUGUGAUUAUGGUUUGACAAAUUCAUAUGGGUAGGAACUCAUACACCAUAUAAAUCUAAGUGUCAUAAGGUUUCUCUCCGAUUCAUGAAAAUGAUGGUGAGGAAACGCUUUCACUAAGUAGAUUUUACGAAGAUAUCAAUUGUGUUAUUUGCAUUUUCAAAAGUCGUUAGUGGAGCGCGUGUGGUUAACCGGCACACUAACAUGGACUUGUGAGAAAUGGCAAAUGCCUAAGCAAUUGAGACCAUGAUUACGGUAUCCCUUUUCAUGGUUCUUGAAAUUGCUUAGACACACAGGUGAGCUAUCUACGGAAAGGGUGUAUGAAUCUAAAUUUCAGACUGUCCAGCUGAUUUCUGAGUACAUGUCAAAGCUAGUGGGAGCAUAAGUGUUAUGCUAAUAAUCAUCAUGUUAGUGGGAGCAUGAUAAUUAUGAUAAGUAUUGCAAGUUAGCAAUGUUAAUUAUAGAAAACAAAAGUUUCAAUUGGGAAAAAGUUGUUUUGCUAUAAUUAAGGGAGAGGAAAUUAUGCUUCAUCUCAAAUCUAUAAGCUUAGAUCGUGAGGUUUUAAUCAUUUAGUCAAGGAUAUAUAUGAAUUUCAUGUUGGAAUGGCUCAACAUAAGGAAAUUCUGUAUAUGGGUCCAUUAUUUGCGUUCUAAAAUUCGAUUAUGAUUACGGCAUCCCUUUUCAUAAUCUGAAUUAUGAGAACUUGGCAAAUUGAAAUGGAAAUAUUAUAGCAAAAGACUGGUUUAGUCUUUAUGUAAGACAUCAUGAAUCGUGUCCCAUAUGCUUCGGAUAUAGGAUCGAUUACAUGUGCUAUAUUCAUCCGUUCUAAAAUUUUCCAAAUGCCUGGGGCAUUAAGAAGGGAAAAGGUUUAGAACUGGAUAUGACUAAAAGGAUUAAACAAUUGUCGAGGACAAUCUAAGGUUUACCAAAGAUUGGUUACUCAAGGACAAUUGGAAGUAUAGUGAUAAUUCUGGAAGGACCAUAUUGACAUAAUCUGUAAGGAGGCAACUCUUGUUCAGAAGUGAUAGUCAAAAUGGAAUCUGGAAAUGUUUCAAAGUUAGAAUUUUCAAUCUGUGUAAGAUUAAGGAAACUUAAUGCAAGAAGGAUAUUUCCAAGGAGUUGAUCUCCUUUGGAAUACUCUGUAAUGAUUGUUGCCAAGUCUUUGUGACUUUGUGCAUAAUCAUUACAAGAGGAUCAAUGCAUAUAAGUUUAGAAUCUAACAGAUUUCAGUAAAUGGCAUGAAUUUGGAAUUCUUGCAUUUGCAGUAAGGAUUUGGGAGUGUGAAAAGAGAAUCAUUGAAGUUAUGUUCAAUUGAUCUAGUUCACAAAGUAAAGAUCAUAGACAAACAUAGUAUGCAUACUUGGUGUGUGGCAUGACUAGUGUUUAAGAAAACAUAGUGUACAUGCUUGGAGCAUGGGACAACUAUUGUUUUAAAUUCAAGAAUAAAGUUGAUAGCUGAAACAGUAUACAAUGAAUAAUGUGUAAUCAUAUGGUGAUAAAUAAAAGGUGUUUUAUUUAUGUUCAAAGGGUUGAUACCAUAUUGGAUUCAAUUAUUAUUGUGUUUCAUUUUGCAUGUUUUGACUUCCCGAAUAAACUGGGUUAUUCUUCCGGAAUGACUAAGUUAUUCAAACCAUCCACAGUCGGUCAUAUGUUGGAAGUAGAUAUGAAUUAAGACUGUCAUGGGUUGGCUUGUAGAGGUCUAAGGUGUUGGACAAAGGGCUACAACACUCAUGAGUGCUCAUAAGUUCUGAGUAUUGGAUUCAACCCGCGCUCAUUGGAAUCACUUCAUGGAUUUUAUCACGAGUGAUCAUGAGACGAUAAUAUCUUAUAUUCUUCAAACCUAGAGAUAUGAGUUGUUACUAUGAGUUGAUAGUACAUUGAUUGCACGAAAACGCAUUUGGUAACUCGGUGCUAUAAAACGUGCCUUUGUGUAUGAUUCAACAAGUAGUAGAACAAGCCAUAUGAGUCGAAGUUUAUCCAUUCCUUUUACCUUCGGGAUAAAAGCGAUAUCUGUGGGCCCCUCGAUGAUUUGAUGAUGACAAAUGGAAGUGCUCGGCCGGGCCAGGACUGAUUUGAUUUGUUCAAUUAGUCAGUCGUCAUAAAUCGGAAAUCGGGAAACAACAAAUGGACAGAGAGAAUGAUUAUAAUCCAUGUCUCAGUCCAUAUGAUAUCUAGAAUGGAGGAAUAUAUGAUCCCUUAUCUAAUGGACAAGUCAUUGACAAAGGUCAGAGUUCAUCUACAAGGUCAGAGUUCGACAGAAGCUUUUGAGAGCUACGAUUGCCAGUUGGUUCCUGAAGUCAUACGCAAUAAUAGUUUUAGACUUAUCCAAGUGGGAGACUGUUGGAUUAAUGUCUAAGUCCAUAACUAUAAUUGGUAAGACUUGACCCGACCCGGCAUGGUCCAUUUGGGUUGCAUGCCAUCAUGCACUUGGAUAGACUAUAAUGAGAGAAAUAAGACACUUAUGGUUAUUAAUAUAUUAUAAGUUCUAGUAUAUUAAUAAUAAGAAUAAUAAGAUUAUUUAAUUAGUAUUGAUCAAGAAUUAAUCUAGGAUUAAUUAAGUGAUCAAAAGAAGACUAAUUAAAUAUAUGGGUUGAUUGUGUAAAUCAUCCAUACUUGUAUAGUGGGCUAAUGCUCCAUGGAUAAUCAAGUUGGGCUAAAACCCAUAGGAUGGUCCAUGGAUGCUCCAUGGUGUAUUUGAACCCAUGGAUCCAAGGAAAUGGAAAGUCAUGACAAUUAGGGUUUACCCUAAUUGUAAAACUAUAUAAAGAUCUUAUUCUUGACAAAAUCGGUGACUAGUAUCAUUCUAGAGAAAGGCUAGCCGAUUUCAUGAAGUGUAGAUUUCUCUCAAGUUAUUCCAAGUGUAUUUGGUGUUGUGUGAACCAUUUGAGGUGUCACACUUGGGGCACUAGGCACUCAAGCUUCAUGAAGGCUUUCCUACAUCAAAGAGGUAUGUAUUCUAUCUUGUUACACUCAUUGUUUUUGUAUGCUAGAUUAGGAUAAUACCUUGGAAGUUCUUAUUUGCAUGUAUAAUAGAGAAAACAUAGAUCCAAGGUAUUUAGGGUUGCAUGUACACUUAGGAGUGUUAGAAUGCUCAAAACCCAACAUAAUCUGCUCCUGCAAGACUCAUGAUGUGGAAAGUAGUCAAAUUUUGGAUAAAAGACUAUGAAAACGGUGUUUCCAUAAUGGUUCGGUUAAAGCAUCCGUAAGCUGUUCAUCUCCUUUGAUAUGAGUGACACGUAUAGAACCGUCUUGUACCUUUUCAAGAACAAAGUGAAAGUCAAGAGCCAAAUGUUUCAUUCUUGAGUGAAAAAUAGGAUUUGCUAAAUAGUCAGUAGUACUUAAAUUAUCACAGAAAAUUGUUGGUGUAACAGUAGAUGUGAAGCCAAGUUCAGAUAGUAAUGAAACA